rnacentral:rRNA from 1 species
ACCGGCAGCUAGCUCUCUGCAACUCUCACCUGGUUGCCCACUAAAGCUAAGCAGGGCUGCGCCUGGUCAGUACUUUGAUGAGACCACAUGGGAAAGCUAGGUUGCUGCCAGAA